UAUGUUACACAAAUCACUCCAUAUGCAACCAUCUAUAGGUAUGUAGAACCUAGCAGUUUAUAAUAUCCUCCAUGAAAUGAUAAUAUACACCAUAUAUUGACAAAAUCACUCAAUAUGCAACCAUCCAUAGGAUUAGGAACCUGUACAAUCCAAUUUACAUCGACAAAACAUAUAACUACAAAGGUUGUCACUCGUGUUCUUGUCGUCGACCCUCCUGAUGGCAACUAUAUGGCAUGGCAGAUUUUGAUGGACAGCAACAUACCUAGCAUAUUCACAACCACAUUAGACAUUUGUAGAUAUGAAUAUGUAGUAGGAGAAAUGCCUACAGAUGAAAAAAACAAAGUAUCUAGUAUAAAACAACAAUAAAUUGACUGACUAAUACAUGUGCAUAGUACACAAAUAAACAAGUUUAAACCUCUGUAUUAGGACUGCCACAAUGUAACAAUGUAAUUUUCUUCUUAGAUUCAGAUUCAACUUAUUUCUGGAAUACAUAUUCACCGGUCUGCAGGAGACAACAAGGAUAGAAAACGAAAUGCCUAGGGAGAAAACUCUAAAUAGAACAUGUUGACAUAUUAAUAUAGUAACAGAAAUCAUAUCUCCAAGACCUAGGGGGGAAAUCUAAACUGAAUCAGAUCUUGAUAGAAGGCUACAUACCACAGUGCAGCGGUUUGUCUCUACUUGGUACCCUAAAGUUUGUCUCUACUUGUUAUCCUGCAGUGUACAAGAUACAGAAGAAAUUCAGAGAAAAUUUAGGGUUAAAGAUUCAGAGAGGAAGCGGUCACCAGAGAGAAGUGUGCCGAAUGAAAGUCAAAUGACUAACAAACACACAUCACAAAACUCACGUACUAUAGCAGCAGAAGUUGAGGCCAUAUAAACCCACUAACAAAAUAAUGCUCAGCAUUUCUAAACAAAGGACAGUAGUAUGAUUUGUGUUUGUCCAUACAGUAGGUUUUUGGUUUGAAAGGUCAAAGAUAAUGCUC
rnacentral:lncRNA from 1 species